ensembl:lncRNA
CCGUUUUCUCAUACACAUAGGAAUCCAUCCCUCCCAGUAGUUGCUCCAAGUGAAUACACUCCUGUAUUGUCAGAGCUAGAGCCAUGUACUCGGCUUCGCAUGUGGAGAGUGCUACUGUGGGUUGCUUCUUGGUUUUCCAAGAUACUAAGGAACUACCUUUACUCAUACUCACACAAUACCCGGUGGUACUGCGUCUGUCACUAACAUCCGCAGCCCAGUCUGCGUCGCUAUAUGCUCGUAUGCCUAGGCUUCCUUGGCUUUUUGUGAAACAGAGCUGUUUGUCUGCAGUACCUCUGAGGUACCGCAAAACAUGUUUCACCGUGACCCAAUGCUCAUCUGUAGGGUCAGCAAAAUGUUGUGAUAACUUGUUCACUACGAAACAUAUGUCUGGGCGUGUACAGGUUGUCAGGUAAAUGAGGCUGCCGACAGCCUCCCUGUACUUCUUCACAUCAGAGAUUUUAGGCGCACCUUCAGAGUAUUCUAGCUUUGGUUCACAUGGGGUUUCUCUAACCCUACACUCCUGCAUGUCGAAACGAUUCAGUAGUUUUUCAACAAAUCUCCUUUGUGACACUUUUACCCAGCCGUCAGACUGGCUGAAGUCCAUGCCCAGAAAAUACUUCAACCUACCUAGGUCCUUCAUCUUAAAUCUGUUGGAAAGCAUGUUUUUCACCCUCUCCAAACUCUGGGUGUUGCUGGCUGCGAUGAUCAGAUCAUCCACCCAAAUGACCACUAUUACCUUCCCUGUCUCUGUAGACUCUUUUGUGUAAACACAAUUUGCUGUCGGUGAGAAUGUCUCGCCAUAAUCUAUCCCUGCUCUCUGGCUGUAUCCUUUCGCUACAAACCUAGCUUUGUACUGGUCGUUUCCGUCAAUGUCUCCCUUAAUCGAAUAUACCCAUUUUCCUCCCACUGUCUUCCUGCCCUCUGGUAGCUUAGUCAGGGUAAAGGUUUGGUUGUCUUCUAGGGACCCCAUCUCCUCGUCCAUUGCUUUCUUCCACUUUCCUGACUCAGUUGAUGUCAUGGCCUCUUUAAAGGUCAGAGGCACACCACAAACUGCUCGGUAGCAAUAAUCUACACUAGUUAGCGUACUGUCGUCAUCAGCAUCUUCCAGAGAAUAAUCUCUUAGAUACCCCGGGGCUUUACGCUCUCUGGUAGGGUAUCUCCCACUGUCGUGUGGCGUCUCCCUAGGAUGCUUCUCGCAGUCGUCCUCUGAUGCGGAUUGUGGACGAUCAGUCAAUACAUCGGUGUUCGGUACGCUAGGCUGUGAAGUCUCUACUCCCUUAUCACAACCCCCUUUGGGAUCCAGUCCUAGCUCCUGAGUCUGAGUCUCAUUUUCACAGGUUGUCUUGGUGACAAACUUUACCAGCCUGUGCUUCUGUACUUUUCCUUUGCCCGGGUAGUAAACUAGGUAGGCGGGACUGCCCUUGUCGUGCCCUACAAAGAAUCCUCUGUCACACCUAGAAUCUAGUUUGCCUCUGUCUUGCUGGUAGGCACAACACUCUGACCCGAAUUUAUGCAUAUCGGCCAAAUUACACUUUUUACCUGUCAGUGCUGUGUAUGGGGUAGUGCCUGUGUGCUUGUUGAAACACCGGUUCCUGGUAUAGGCUGCUUCCUGGAUGGCAUAGUGCCAAAGGCUCUUAGGUAAGCCACUGUCAAUGAGCUUACAUCUGGCCAUCUCGAAAAGAGUUCGCCCUUCCCUUUCAGCUGUCCCGUUCUGGUGCGGAGAGUAAGGACAGGAAGUCUCGUGCCUGAUUUUGUUCUUUCUCAGUAGUGUCUGAAACUCUCGGUUAGUAAAUUCAGUCCCGUUAUCUGAUCUGAUGCACU